rnacentral:rRNA from 1 species
AUGCACAGUACCGAAGAGGCUAGCAAUAAUGGAAGGGUAAGAGUGCGUAUAAUCCAUGGACUCACAUUAGUCAUAAAGAACUCAUAUACUUAUUGCAAAAGUUUUAUUAGCCCUCGAAGAAAAGUACUACUACGCAUGCUCCUAGGGGGGAGGUUGGUAGGAGUUAACCAUCGCGCGCCCCCGACCUCCACACAUAAGGAAGGCAAUCAAAAGAGCACCCCAUGCAAUAAAUUUAUUACACAACUUUUACCAUACGUGCAUGCUAUGGGACUUGCCAACUUCAACACGGGUAUUUCUCAAAUUCAUAAUUACCCAACUAGCAUGACUCUAACAUGA